GAGAGUUUGAUCCUGGCUCAGAACGAACGCUGGCGGCGCGCCUAACACAUGCAAGUCGAACGAGAAGCCGUCGCAAGACGGUUGUAAAGUGGCAAACGGGUGAGUAAUGCAUGGGCAACCUACCCUCAGGUGGGGGAUAACUCCCCGAAAGGGGUGCUAAUACCGACGAUACGCACCGGCCUUGCAAGGGGCUGGUGGAAAGCCGAGCCGAGGGUUCGGCGCCGGAGGAUGGGCUCAUGUCCUAUCAGCUUGUUGGCGGGGUAAUGGCCCACCAAGGCUACGACGGGUAGCUGGUCUGAGAGGACGACCAGCCACACUGG
rnacentral:rRNA from 1 species